AUUGACAUUGACAGUUUCCUGGGGCUCCUUUCACAAAUCAACCUUUAGUAAGGUUAACCUUAGCUCCCAUUCUUAAACAUUGCACUAAGGUUACCUUACUGUUAGUGACUUA